CGCUCUUGGGACUGAGGGGGACCAGACAUCAAUCCAGGUUCUCCACAUCUUUCUAAACAAGUCUCUCCUAUUUCAAACUUAGCAUUAGCUAGGAGCACAGCAAUUGUUCUCUAUCAGAAAGAGAGCUGGGUAGACAGAAGAAAAAAAGGAUCUGUGACAAUUUUUGUGAAUAACACCCACUUUAGUGAUAUUCAUGACCUCUUUCUUCAACUAUCCAUGAGCAUUCAGGUUCACAAAUAUCUGAAGUCCGAGAGAUAAGCAGGAGGAAUGGAGAAAUGGAGUGUAUGUUUUCUGUGCUGUAAAAAGCCUCUACUAAUUCUCACCACAGCAGAUGUCUUAUACAUAGGCACUAAGGGUGGAUUGAUGUCUUUCUUAAUGACUUUAUUGAAUCAUCAUGAAUCAAAAUCAAAAACAGAGAGAAAAAAACAUACUUGAAAUCACACAGCAUCUGUCAGUACCCUA